rnacentral:rRNA from 1 species
GCCAAACUGAGCAAGCCAUACACCAUGUCGACCUCCUGGCAUGCCAGCGGCAAUGGUCUCCCCUCCGUUCCCGGCUCCGCUUCCUCCAUCAUUGCCGGCGCCGUGAGCGGCUACCACUUGCUGAAGAUCGUCGGCUACUCGCGCACCAAGGAGCUCCCCAAUGGCGAGUGGAUCGACUCUUGCCCGUUCCAGGUGGGAGGCCGCACGUGGCAUGUUCGCUACUAUCCCAACGGGAACAAGAACGAAGAUAUCGAUUACAUAUCCGUCUUUCUCGAAUUCGAUGGUACCGUCGCCGAGGCCGAGGCCGUGAAGGCACAAGCCAAGUUCAGCUUGCUCGACCAAGAUGGGAAUCCGGCGCCGACCUAUAGCUGGGGAACCGGCACCAGAAACUACUCCGUGGAAAAAACUUGGGGAUUCAAACAGUACAUCAAAAGGGAUGAGUUGGAGAAAUCAGAGCUUCUCAAGGACGAUUCCUUCGCUGUCAAGGUCGAUGUCACUGUCAUGAGCGAGUUCCACGCACGGAAGACACCAACCAUCGUGGUGCCACCGUCCGACAUACACCGGCACCUCGGGGAUCUCCUGUCGAGCAAGGCGGGCGUCGAUGUCGAAUUCCGGGUCGGCGGGGAGACAUUCUCGGCGCACCGAUUGGUGCUCGCGGCACGGUCUCCGGUCUUCAGAGCAGAGUUCUUUGGGAACAUGAAGGAGAGCACCACCACUGAGCCCAUAUGUAUAGAUGCCAUUGAGGCAGAGGUGUUCAAGGCUCUGCUUGCUUUCAUGUACACGGAUGCAUUGCCUGAUAUGGAUCAACAGGAGGAAUCUGCCAUGGCUCAGCAUUUGCUGGUUGCAGCAGAUAGGUAUGAUCUGGAGAGGCUGAAGCUGAUUUGUGAAGAUAAGUUGUGCAAUCAUAUCGAUACGAGCUCCGUGGCGACUAUCUUGGCCUUGGCGGAGCAGCACCACUGCCACGAGCUUAAGGCGGCAUGCUUGGUGUUCCUCAGCUCGCCAGUGAAUCUGGAUGGGGCCAUGGAGUCUGAAGGUUUCCAGUUUUUAACCAAGAGCUGCCCUGGUGUUAUUAAGGAUCUUCUAAUGUCCCACGUUGCUCCUAGUUUACUUGGGAAAAGAAAAUCAAAGGCAUGA